AGAGUUUGAUCCUGGCUCAGAUUGAAUGCUGGCGGCAGGCCUAACACAUGCAAGUCGAACGGUAACAGAAAGCAGCUUGCUGCUUUGCUGACGAGUGGCGGACGGGUGAGUAAUGUCUGGGAAACUGCCUGAUGGAGGGGGAUAACUACUGGAAACGGUAGCUAAUACCGCAUAACGUCGCAAGACCAAAGAGGGGGACCUUCGGGCCUCUUGCCAUCGGAUGUGCCCAGAUGGGAUUAGCUUGUUGGUGGGGUAACGGCUCACCAAGGCGACGAUCCCUAGCUGGUCUGAGAGGAUGACCAGCCACACUGGAACUGAGACACGGUCCAGACUCCUACGGGAGGCAGCAGUGGGGAAUAUUGCACAAUGGGCGCAAGCCUGAUGCAGCCAUGCCGCGUGUAUGAAGAAGGCCUUCGGGUUGUAAAGUACUUUCAGCGGGGAGGAAGGGAGUAAAGUUAAUACCUUUGCUCAUUGACGUUACCCGCAGAAGAAGCACCGGCUAACUCCGUGCCAGCAGCCGCGGUAAUACGGAGGGUGCAAGCGUUAAUCGGAAUUACUGGGCGUAAAGCGAGCGCAGGCGGUUUCUUAAGUCUGAUGUGAAAGCCCCCGGCUCAACCGGGGAGGGUCAUUGGAAACUGGGAGACUUGAGUGCAGAAGAGGAGAGUGGAAUUCCAUGUGUAGCGGUGAAAUGCGUAGAUAUAUGGAGGAACACCAGUGGCGAAGGCGGCUCUCUGGUCUGUAACUGACGCUGAGGCUCGAAAGCGUGGGGAGCAAACAGGAUUAGAUACCCUGGUAGUCCACGCCGUAAACGAUGUCGACUUGGAGGUUGUGCCCUUGAGGCGUGGCUUCCGGAGCUAACGCGUUAAGUCGACCGCCUGGGGAGUACGGCCGCAAGGUUAAAACUCAAAUGAAUUGACGGGGGCCCGCACAAGCGGUGGAGCAUGUGGUUUAAUUCGAUGCAACGCGAAGAACCUUACCUGGUCUUGACAUCCACAGAACUUUCCAGAGAUGGAUUGGUGCCUUCGGGAACUGUGAGACAGGUGCUGCAUGGCUGUCGUCAGCUCGUGUUGUGAAAUGUUGGGUUAAGUCCCGCAACGAGCGCAACCCUUAUCCUUUGUUGCCAGCGGUCCGGCCGGGAACUCAAAGGAGACUGCCAGUGAUAAACUGGAGGAAGGUGGGGAUGACGUCAAGUCAUCAUGGCCCUUACGACCAGGGCUACACACGUGCUACAAUGGCGCAUACAAAGAGAAGCGACCUCGCGAGAGCAAGCGGACCUCAUAAAGUGCGUCGUAGUCCGGAUUGGAGUCUGCAACUCGGCUCCAUGAAGUCGGAAUCGCUAGUAAUCGUGGAUCAGAAUGCCACGGUGAAUACGUUCCCGGGCCUUGCACACAACGCCCGUCA
rnacentral:rRNA from 1 species